rnacentral:rRNA from 1 species
UACGUAGGGUCCGAGCGUUGUCCGGAAUUAUUGGGCGUAAAGAGCUCGUAGGCGGUUUGUCGCGUCUGCUGUGAAAUCCCGAGGCUCAACCUCGGGUCUGCAGUGGGUACGGGCAGACUGGAGUGCGGUAGGGGAGAAUGGAAUUCCUGGUGUAGCGGUGGAAUGCGCAGAUAUCAGGAGGAACACCGAUGGCGAAGGCAGUUCUCUGGGCCGUAACUGACGCUGAGGCGCGAAAGCCAGGGGAGCAAACGGG